rnacentral:tRNA from 1 species
GUUUUAAUAGUUUAAAUAAAAAACAUUGGUCUUGUAAAUCAAAAUUGAAAUUUUUAAUUUCUUAAAACU